GAUAGUCGCAGCGAGCGAGUGCUCUCCUUAAAUCCCGACCCUUGUCGAGGCGGCACAACACAAGACACUUGUCGACUCCACCACACUCCCCAAUCUCAAGAUCGCUGCGACACGACACUCCCAACGUUGCUGAGUGAAAUUUUUGAGAAAUAGGCCCAAACAAAAACACUACUAACCCAACUACCCAAGAUCUGAAUCCAAGGAAACCAUUGAAAAUACCCCAUGAUCUACUAAGGCAUGAUUGCUACGUAAGACACAAAGUUUGCUUUAAGUAAGCUUCGAACGUCUGCUUCAAGUGUUGGAAAGUGGGGUCAAAGAUGAACUUCAGGAACUUUGGUGAUAAUAAUAGUAACCACCCCACUUGGGAUGCCAUGCAUGGGAAGACACCAGCAAACAAUGUUACUACUCUGCUGAGACAGCCCUCAACAAUAUACUCAUUGACAUUUGAUGAGUUUCAGAGCACAAUGGGUGGGAUUGGGAAGGAUUUUGGGUCGAUGAACAUGGAUGAACUCUUGAAGAACAUAUGGGCAGCUGAAGAGACUCAAGCCAUGGCAUUUUCAGCUGGUGCAGCAGGAGGAGAAGGCCAUAACAACAACCCUAUUAGUGGUGGUUUGCAAAGACAAGGUUCUUUGACAUUGCCAAGGACUCUUAGUCAGAAAACAGUUGAUGAGGUUUGGAGGGACUUGAUCAAAGAUAGUAGUGGUGGGGCCAAGGAUGGUGGAAGUGGCAAUGGUGGCUCAUCAAUUCCUCAAAGGCAAGCAACAUUGGGAGAAAUGACAUUGGAGGAGUUUUUGGCGAGAGCUGGGGUUGUGAGAGAAGAUGUGCCUCAACAACAACAACAACAACAAAUUGGAAAACCAAACAACAAUGGAUGGUUUGGUGACUUUCCUAGACCAGACAAUAACAACACUGGCCUACUUUUUGGGUUUCAACAACCAAAUAGAAGCAACGGGAAUUUGGGUGAGAACACUAACUUAGUUCCCAAACAACCUCCUCCUCCUUUAUCAUUAAACUCAAACCACUCCCAAAGACAAGCACAACAGCACCAACAACAGCCACCACCACUUUUUCCAAAGCCAGCAAAUGUAACUUUUGCAGCUGCUCCUAUGCAUUUGUUGAACAAUGCACAACUUGCUAGCCCUGGCAGAAGGAGAGGGUUGAUUGGAGUUGCUGAGCAUUCGAUGAAUGUUGGAAUGGUUGGUUUAGCCACAGCUAAUGUCACAGCUUCUGCCUCAAGUAAAAUAUCACCUGAUGUUAUUACAAGGAGUAAUAAUGUUGAUAACUCUCCAAUAUCACCGCAUUAUGUAAUCAACAGGGGAAGGAAAUUCAGUGCCAUAGAGAAAGUGGUUGAGAGGAGACAAAGGAGAAUGAUAAAAAAUAGAGAAUCAGCUGCGAGGUCAAGGGCUCGUAAGCAGGCCUACACUUUCGAACUAGAAGCUGAGGUUGCAAAACUUAAGGAAUUAAACAGAGAAUUACAAAGAAAACAGGAAGAAAUCAUGGAAAUGCAGAAAAAUAAGGAUUUGGACCCUGCAUGCAGACCAAGGGUAAGUAAAAUACACUGCUUGAGAAGGACACUUACUGGACCAUGGUAGAUUAUGUGAAUGUGAGUCAUUGUUUCCAAGUGACAUCUACACGAAGGAAGCCAUUAUGUCAUAAGGGCUGGGGUAUAUAUAUGUAUGUGAGACGUGAGGAUGAUAUACAAGAAAACACAAAAGCUUUUUCGUGUUAGUAAACGAUGCGUAUUCGUGUUGUAAGUUUUCAUAGAGGUUGUUGAUUUAUCCUAAAUUAAAAAUUAGAGAUUCUUCUCAGCUUUAAACUUUUGUAUAUCAAUAGUAAUAUUUUCGUUCACAGUCUUAUUAUAA